CUUAAUUUAUUUAUUUUAACAUUAAUUUAUAUGUAAAUUUUGGUAUAUGUUGUAAUUCUAGAUGGAUUGUAAUAUGUUAUGGCAGUAGAUAAUUUUAUUGAUAUUAAAUUAUUUUAGAUUUGGUAAAUGUUAUUAAGAAUUGGUAAAAGUUGUGCCAGCAUCCGCGGUUAUACAGUGAAUUCAAAUAAAUAUUAUUGGUUUUAAAGUAAUUAUUAUUAUUAUUAUUAUAUUAAAAGAGAUAUUAUGAGGUGAAAUAUUUGUAUUAUUUUAUUAAAUAUAUAAAUAGUAAGAAAUGUUAUGAAAUUGAAGAGUUAGACUAGGAUUAGAUACCCUAUUAUUUUUAAUGUAAACUAGUUAAAUCUGAGUAUUAAUAGCUAUGAUCUUUAAACUUAAAGAAUUUGACGGUAUUAUAGUCUAUUUAGAGGAACCUGUUAUGUAAUUGAUAAUCCACAUUGAACCUUACUUAUAUUAUUUUUUGUAUACCGCUGUUUGUGAAUAUAUUUUUAGAUUAAUUUUCUGGAUAUAAUAAUAAAUAGAAUUUCAAGUCAAGGUGCAGUAAUAUAUAAGUUGAUUAAUGGGUUACAAUAAAUUUUAUUUAAAUACGAAUUAUUAUAUUAAAAUCAAUAUGAAGGUGGAUUUAAUUGUAAUUUUAUGUAGAUUGUUAAGAUGAUUUUAAGCUCUAUAAUAUGUACACAUCGCCCGUCACUCUCGUUAUUAAGAUGAGAUAAGUCGUAACAAAGUAAGUGUAUCGGAAGAUGUACUUAGGAAGGAAGUAAACUAUU
rnacentral:rRNA from 1 species